GCCUUCGCGGCAAUGUUGUUUUCAGCCGUGUGUCAGCUGUUCACGUUCACUGCGUGCGGAGUCUAAACAUUUUCGUUAAAAAUUGUCUUGCAUUUUAUUUUCGUUAGUCGAAGCUGUUAAUUUGAUAUGGCACAAGUAAAGGUGACGAGUUACUACACUCGUCGGAAACGAAUUGACGAUGCCCAGCCGACGAAAAGACGGAAACUGCAGCCGAGUGCAUCGGGUCAGGAGACGGAUUUGGGACCCGAGCAAUCGGGCUUGAAGCUGAAAGCAGGCCUAGACGCCUUUACAAAGCAGUUACUUCCGCAAGUUGAUCGAGCGGUGUUGCUCGAAGAUACCAUUUCCCAGUGUUCGAAAACCAGUGCCUCGACAACCCGACCCAAAUCUGCCAAGAAAUCUCGAGCAAGUGCCACGAGAACCGCUAAGAAAGCAACAAAAGGACCUUUGGAUAAACACUUGGAGAAAGUAACUCAGUCUGAAAGUCCCAAACUAAAGUUAGGCCUGUCACUGGAGUUGAAAACAGACUUUGGUGAUUCGGUUAAAAUCCCAGAGUUUGUGACACACCGCUCGCCACCGUCAACACCGACAAAGCGUCCAAAGCAGACUGAUGAAGCGCCGAGUCGAAAAAAGAGAAGUAGAAUCGGAAGUGAAGAUGUGGUUGUGGAAACUGACGGUUCCUCCUGUCAGAUGACCAAGGAGGCUGAAUCCUCUAGAGCAUCCAGACGAAAAGUCCAGGCAGCUGGACGACAAGCAUCGAAAAGGACAAAUGGGGGAAGGUCGGCUAAGAAGAGUCUAGAGGCGUCAUUGGGGGAGUUUGCUAAUAGCAAUGAAUUGGACACGAGAGAUCGCAUUUUACCCAAAGUUGAAACGCCGCAUCAUUGUGUCAAUGAUGAUUCACAUGGAAUCACUACCGAUCGGCAAGAAUCAUCUCAACCGAGUACUCCUGUAAAUCCUGAAAAAUCAACAGCAGCAUCAAGCUCAAGAUCCUCAAGUGUAAGCCAGAAGAUGCCAGACUCGAGCCAGUCAUCCCGUGAUAGUGGGAAGUUGCAGGCGUUCAUGGAGAGGACAAGUCGAUCUGUGGCCUCGGUGAACUCCAAGGGGUCAAAGGUCAAGGCUGGGUUUAGUGACCGAGUACAGGAAGCGGUCAGCAAUGCUCAGAGCAGCCCAUCAGAGAAAGUAGUAGACAGUGGUAGUGCAAGUGAAGAAAAGAAAAAGACGAAGUUGACGCCGGCAGAGAUGAAGGAACGUCUGUCCAAAUCCUGCAAGCUGAGCGACCUGCAAGCCCGAUUGGCCAGAGUCAGGCAGUGUGCAGACCAGGCCAAGAGCAGUCAAAAACCUGCAACGGCAGUCAACAGCGACAUCGCUACUAGCACCAGAGAGCCCACAGCAAGUAAAAUUAAGUCGGAAGAGCCAGCAAUGCCCGCCUACCAGAAGUACCAUGCCCUGGUUAACUCCGCCCCUACCACCCUCAACCUGCCCUUCAAGUACAAACUUCUUGAGGAGAUGUUUCGUAGUACAGACACUGUGGUCAGCAUGCUGCACAACAGGUCCGAGACCUGCUCCUUCCCGAAGCUGAAACAAGCGGUGCAAGAAAUGUGCCGCAGAACAUUUGAGCAGCAGCAUCUAGGCCAAAUCAAGACAGUCUACCCGACAGCGUACUUCCUCAGGCAGCAGAAGGUCGGGAGGUCAGGGGUCAAGGAGAAGACAAACUAUGAGUUGGUUCUGGAGGCCAAUACUGGAUCAGGGGUCGGAACGUCUGCUGGUCAAGAAAGCAGUGAGCCCACCAAGACCAAAUCCCAGACCAACGCUGUGUCUAAGCUCAUCAGCAAGUUCACUCCAUCCAUGCUGAUCGCAAGACGCAGUAUCUUUCAUAACAACUUGGUGGAUAUCAUCAAGGAACAUCACAAUGAAUUCCUGUCCAAGUUAGAGCGCCCUCUCUCGGUACCGAGUGACAAGCUGACCCGCUGGCAUCCCAAGUUCCCCUUGGACCAGAUCCCAGACGUUGAGCCCGCCGCCUUGCCCCAGCCCCCGACGGUGACCACCUACAACACGGCCAAGGAUGUGCUGGACAAGGCUCGUGUCAUGAUGAACCCCAGAGUUGCCAAGGCGCUUGAGGUGGUUGCUAAGAACUCGGCGCUCUUGAAAGCAGAGAAGGGCAAACCGACUGCUGAGCAGGAGACUAGCAUUGUCAAGCAGGAGCCCAAAGUUGUCAAGAAUGUCAAAUCAGUCAGUGGUGUCAACCAGUCCCUUCUGGACAGGAUUCGGGCCAAGGAAGCACAAAACGUGACCGCCAUGAUGACUCGUAGCCCAGCCGAUCAAGAGAGAAUCACCAUGCUGGAACGUCUUCCGGAGCUCUGCCGCAUUCUCAGAGUAUUUUUCAUCGCUGAGAAGAAAGCAGCCAUACCCAUUGAGGCUGUCAUUCAGAAAUUGGCCGACAGUUAUCCCUCCAUACUCUCCAAAGCUCAAGUUGAGAAGCACGUUAGUCUGAUGGUGGAGGUUCUGCCGCAGUGGCUGAGCAGGGUCGUAGUGCGGAAGGACCAUUACCUGAAGAUGAACCGCACCAAAGAUAUGAGUCUGAUCAAUGACAGGAUCAACCAGCUGCUCAAGGAAAGCAAACAGGUCAAAGGUUAGAGUUCAAGAGGUCAAUAUCAAAUGUCAAAAAUGGUUCUAGAUUGUUACCUGAAGGUGCACAGAACCAAAGAUAUGAGCCAGAUCCAUGACAGGGUCAACCAGCUGCUCAUGGAAAGCAAACAGGUCAAAGGUUAGAGUUCAAGAGGUCAAUAUCAAAUGUCAAAAAUGGUUCUAGAUUGUUACCUGAAGGUGCACAGAACCAAAGAUAUGAGCCAGAUCAAUGACAGGGUCAACCAGCUGCUCAUGGAAAGCAAACAGGUCAAAGGUUAGAGUUCAUGGGUUAGACUUCAAGAGGUCAAUAUAGGUUAUAUUUUGGCAGAGACCAUUCAUUACCUGUAUAUGAACCUCCCAAAAAAUUGAGCAAUAUCAUACUCAAAUAAAUCCUCAGAAAAAGUGGCCAGGUUAAAAGUAAGAGUUCAAAGGUUAUUUUGAUUAAGUACCAACAAAAUGCAGUUUUAGCCAAAUUAGAGUGAAUGGGUUCCCCAAGGACUGAAGGAAAGUGUUACGACCAAAUAUGAGGAAAGUUUUGUUUUUCUUUUGGAUAUAGCCUGUCCUUUGUGGUACGAUAAAUGAGAUUGUGAGAUUAUCAUAGCAAUAUCAGAAAUGUGCUUCCAUAAAUUUAGAAAUUGUACAGCUGUCACUCAUUUUUCAUAGCUCUAAUUCUUAUUCAGUUCUUCAAAACAACUGAAAUUGCAUUUCUUUUUAUGACCUUGUUUUUUGCAUUAUUUUCUUAUUAUGUUUUACAAACUUGGGUCAAGUGAUUAUGAGUGUUGGGAGAUGUCAGUGUUCCUUGUGCCAUUUUAGAUUGAACGGUUUUAGAUAUCAGUUCCAAACGAUUUUAUCAUUGCAUUUUUCUGGCUGUUUAUUACUUUAGUCUGAAUUAUACACUGUUUUAUACAGACCGUAAUUUGUUGCCAAAAUGCUCAUUAUUAACAUGUGUGCUUGAAAUCAACUCAUCUAGAAUUUUCUUUUAUAUUGAGCUGAGAUUUUGUCACAGGCCUUAUUUCGUAACUUUCCUGUGUUGGUUGUUUGUGACUAAUGAUUAACACAAUAGUAAUAACUACAUGUACACAUGUUAACAUUGGACCCCUACUCAUUUAAUACAACUUUGUAUGUGAAGAUGCAUGUGGCAUAACAUUGUUUUCAUUUUGCUCUUCGAUUUGUAUGCAUGUUUGAUAAGUUUAAAGGAGUCUUUUUAUUCACAUUUCUUUCCAGAUAUAUCUUGAUGUUGUGAGUGUACUUGUAGUAAUUUUAUGGUCAUCGUUUUUUGAUUGUGUCUAAAAAAAAACCCUGAAUAUCAUGAUGAUAAUAGUGAUUUUAAUCUUUCAAAUUUGUAAAAAUGUAAAGAAAUAAUCAUCCAAAUUAUGUAAAGCAACCGUUUUUAAUGGCCAAGUUCUUUUCAACCAGUUUAACAAGUUCCGUGUUAAAAUGUUGACUUACAGCAUUAGACAGUGAAAAUAUGGUGGAAUUUUUAGACUUUUUGUCUGAGUUGACUUCAGUUAACCUUAGCGACAGCAUCCUUGUUGAAUGAAUACAUGCUUGUAAAAGUUGGCAAUCAAAAGACAAAAACGUCUUCUCUGUCGGAUUUAAAGAAAUAAUUCUCCGCACCUUUGGAAAAGAUUGUUUCCCAACUUCACACACACACACCCACACACUGUUUCCGCUGAUUGCGAUGUUUUUAAAAGUGUUUAAAAAAUGUUUUCUUGUUGAAUAAAACGGUUAGUAUUCGAAGAGAA
rnacentral:misc_RNA from 1 species